rnacentral:tRNA from 1 species
ACCUGUAGCUCAGUAGGAUAGAGCAACGGCCUUCUAAGCCGUGGGUCGAGGGUUCGAAUCCCCCCAGGUU